UAUUUUUUUCAGUGUAAAAUUUGAUUUAUAUUGUAAUAGUUUAUGACUUGAAAAUUAUACUGACCAUUAAAGAUGUAUAUAAACACUUAUAUAUUAAAUGUUUGACUGAAAUAGUGAAGAACUGUAUGUCAUAAUCCUACAGUAUCAGUAUUCUGACUUCGAGAUCAUGAACAUACUGUAAUCUGCUCAAAUGACAAGCUGGUAUGUUUGUCAAAAAUUAUUAUUUGCUAAGCUGUUUAAAACAUUUUGAAAAGGAGGAAGAAUUAAGAAUAACAUUUCCUUCCAGAACCCUUUUGUCAUCCUGGGUACCAUGGGUUUGCUCAGAAUUUUUUUUGACUUAUUUUUUUUUAACUGUGGUCAUGCAAGUUCAUGAAAGUCAUGUUGUCUUUCUGGCUCAUCUAUUUCCUGUUCAUAGCUGGCUGUUUGUCUGCACCUGCACUAAACAGCAGGUCUAAAAGAAGCACACAGGAGCUACAGCUGCUCUUUGAUCCUGAUUUGCUUAGGAAGCAAAUCAGCCUUACAGAUGAUUAUGGUGAAAAACCCGUCACACCUGUUUUACCUGACUUUGAAACUCCCUUUUGGCAUGACUCAGAGGAUUAAGACCACUUGGAGUAAAACAUACAAUAAGAAUUAAACUUAUUGUGUCAUGCAUAUUUUGAACAAAAUUACUUUCUUUUGUCAGUGAAGUCAGUUAUUGCUCACAUUUGAAACAACGUAAUUUACUUAAUUUAUUUAGUUACUUCCCAGAAUUUGUAGAAAUGAAGUCAUUGUUUAGAAAGCAAACGUUGUCUGUUUUGUUAACCGACAUUGAAUGACAUUGAAAUAGAAACUGAAAGAGGCUUACUCCUCAUCAUUACCUCUCUACACUGCAAAAACACACAAUCUUACCAAGUACUUUUGUCUAGUUUCUAACACAAAUGCCUUAGUACACUUAAAUUAAGACACAACUGACUCAAAAGUAACUUAUUAGCAAGAUAUAAAAUCUU